rnacentral:rRNA from 1 species
UACGGAGGGAGCUAGCGUUGUUCGGAAUUACUGGGCGUAAAGCGCGCGUAGGCGGCUCAGCAAGUCAGGGGUGAAAUCCCGGGGCUCAACCCCGGAACUGCCUUUGAAACUGCUAGGCUAGAAUCCUGGAGAGGCGAGUGGAAUUCCGAGUGUAGAGGUGAAAUUCGUAGAUAUUCGGAAGAACACCAGUGGCGAAGGCGACUCGCUGGACAGGUAUUGACGCUGAGGUGCGAAAGCGUGGGGAGCAAAC